rfam:Myotis davidii contig316945, whole genome shotgun sequence.
GCUGGUUCUCAGGUGACACACCCAAGAAUCGGGCUCCCUCCUCUCUGGUUCCAGGUGCAUCACCCGAGAACCACA